GGUAGUAAAAGUCGUAACAAGGGUUUCCGUAGGUGAACCUGCGGAAGGAUCACUAUUGUAUAACCGAGGUGCGAGGGCUGUCGCUGACCCGAAAGGUCGUGCACGCCCGAGUGCCCUCACACACAUCCAUCUCACCCCUAUGUGCACCACCGCGUGGGUCCCCCUUUGGCUUGUUCGGAGGGGGGCUUACGUUUUCACACAAACUUUGUAUGCAGUGUAGAAUGUAUUUUUUGUUUUUGCGAUCACGCAAUCAAUACAACUUCCAACAACGGAUCUCUUGGCUCUC
rnacentral:misc_RNA from 1 species